CUGGAAAUGGCGGUGUGCGGUGGUGGUAUACCUGUUGCAUUUGGGAUUUCACUGAAAGAAUAAGAAGGAAUCGACGAUGGACUGCUACGCAACUAUUGCACCACUGAAGGAUGUCUGUGUGCCGGUUUGUGCUCAGUUUCUCAGCCAGUGGGCCUGAGAAAGUGUGCCACAGCAGUCUGUCUAGUAGUGCUCUUUGUUCUGGAAGGACGCAAGCAUUGCAAGGAGCCAUUUGACCUGCCGCCACACUAAUAUUGUAUUUGGCAAAGCCGAAAGCCUCUGCAAGCAGCCAGUCAUUCCAAGUCUCAACCAAUCCUUCCUCCAGUCAGCUAAUUUCUAGUGUCCAUGCGGAGAGGACUAGCGCAAGAGUGGACACUGGACACUAAAAAGGCGACAAGGACAGACGUAAACU